rnacentral:rRNA from 1 species
AUGUAGGUAUCUGCCUUUUGGUUUGGAAUAACACGAGGAAACUUGUGCUAAUACCGGAUAAGCCUUCACAGGGAAAGUUUUAACGCCAAAAGAUGAGCCUGCACUUGAUUAGCUAGUUGGUAAGGUAAUGGCUUACCAAGGCUACGAUCAAUAGCUGUUCUUAGAGGAAGAUCAGCCACAUUGGGACUGAGACACGGCCCAAACUCCUACGGGAGGCAGCAGUGGGGAAUCUUGCACAAUGGGGGAAACCCUGAUGCAGCGAUGCCGCGUGAGUGAAGAAGGCCCUUGGGUUGUAAAGCUCUUUCGUCGGGGAAGAUAAUGACUGUACCCGAAUAAG